AAAUAAUAUGCCACAGCCAAGUGUUCCCAUGCUCAGAAGUUUGGUGGAGCUGUCUCUAUUAUUUUACCGUAAAUCUUGAAAACCCUGGAACUAAUUAUAUCGCGGAUAUGUCUCAAUUUGUUCUGCAUUAAUGCCACUUUGGGAAUGAAGUGCGGGCCAUGGCCAGAGCAGAUACUCGAGCAGCACAUGAAAUUGAUGAGCUGAGACUCGCGGCUAGCCCUGCGCCGCACCAUCUGGAAUUCCAGUCUGAGGUUACGAGGAGAGUUUCUGACCCCGGAUUCAACUCUGCCGAGAAC
rnacentral:lncRNA from 1 species